rnacentral:rRNA from 1 species
UACGUAGGGUGCGAGCGUUGCCCGGAUUUAUUGGGCGUAAAGGGCGCGUAGGCGGCCACGCACGUCCGUUGUGAAAUCGCCCGGCGUCAACUGGGCGGGGUCGGCGGAUACGGCGUGGCUGGAGCAAGCUAGGGGGCAAUGGGAAUUCCCGGUGUAGCGGUGAAAUGCGCAGAUAUCAGGAGGAACACCGGUGGCGAAGGCGGGUCUCUGGGCCGAUACUGACGCUGAGGAGCGAAAGCGUGGGGAGCGAACAGG